ACACUGAGUGAGACCUCGUAUUGAUCUGGAGAGUAUAAUUGCUCAUUUGAUGGCCGAUUGAUGGACUGUGUCAUUGUUUACUCCGUUUUCUCCAUGACCAUGUUUGACUGACCUCCCUCAGGGACUUCAGGUCUCUCCAGCCGGCUCUGCCAUCUGUCCGCUGUGUGGCUCGCAAUGUCUGCCUGACCUGGCCAAAGGGACAGUACGAACCCUCCUAGAUGAGGUCUAACACUCGAGCUGUCCACUAAAGGUCACAGACAGGAAACAGUGGACAGUCUAACCUCUUCACUUCUUCAGCUGUCUGUCAGUGAGCUCACAUGUUUGGUGUCAGAUACAAACAUCACAUGAGCCUGCAUUCCCACCGUCUGACAUGACUCCAGAGGUGGGCUGUGCACUCCAGCCAGCUCCAGAGCAGGUCCAGGUUCAGAGUUGACAUCAAGAAUUAUUAUACAGACUGUAGUAUAGAAACAGUAAUAUCUGAAUCCAGGGAGACCAGUAAUGGUUGUAAUAACUCACUAGUUUGGUGUCAGCUACGUCUGUGAGAUGCACAAUCAGUUACAUUGGCUGACUGUGGAGGAAAAAAAGAAACAAAUAUCUUGAACUUCAUGCAUAACGCAGUCUGAAAAAACACCCCAAUCUUCUUUCAAGAAAAGCUGGUGUACAUAGGUUCGUGCCACAAGCACACUAUGCGUCAAGUGAGUUCAGAGCUCCUGGCCUUACCAAGCCCAAGGACAAAUUCCUUGAUGCAAACUGUUUUAUAGAGGAUUUACUGCCUAGAAUACACUGCCCAUCGCUAAUAGAAAACUCAAGAACAAAAUCUCUUUAAAAAAAGACAUCAAAGAUUUGUUUAAGCUUGAGAUAGACUCAAUUAUUAUCUGUUGUGAUUUUCUGAUUGUUUCUGUAUUCUUUGUGUUAUUUUCUAUUUCAAUUUUAGAUUAUUUUCCUCAGGGUUGCUAUGGCGUAUUUUAUGUUAAGCAAUAUUUUAUUAUAUCUUUUAAGAUGUUUUGAAUUGUGAUUGUAAAUUACUGUUUUUAAAUGUUAUGGGUGGACCCCAGGAAGACUAGCAACCACGUUGUGUAAGCUAAUGGAGAUCCGAAUAAAGAAUAAAGAAUAAAGCUACAAGUUCUUCACUCUUCAAA